UACGAAAGGGGCUAGCGUUGUUCGGAAUUACUGGGCGUAAAGCGCACGUAGGCGGCCUUGUAAGAUGGGGGUGAAAUCCCUGGGCUCAACCCAGGAACUGCCUUCAUGACUGCAAAGCUUGAGGAUUUGAGAGGUUGGCGGAAUUCCGAGUGUAGAGGUGAAAUUCGUAGAUAUUCGGAAGAACACCGGUGGCGAAGGCGGCCAACUGGCACAUUUCUGACGCUGAGGUGCGAAAGCGUGGGGAGCAAACAGC
rnacentral:rRNA from 1 species